rnacentral:rRNA from 1 species
AUCCUGGCUCAGAUUGAACGCUGGCGGCAGGCCUAACACAUGCAAGUCGAGCGGCAGCACGGGUACUUGUACCUGGUGGCGAGCGGCGGACGGGUGAGUAAUGCCUAGGAAUCUGCCUGGUAGUGGGGGAUAACGCUCGGAAACGGACGCUAAUACCGCAUACGUCCUACGGGAGAAAGCAGGGGACCUUCGGGCCUUGCGCUAUCAGAUGAGCCUAGGUCGGAUUAGCUAGUUGGUGAGGUAAUGGCUCACCAAGGCGACGAUCCGUAACUGGUCUGAGAGGAUGAUCAGUCACACUGGAACUGAGACACGGUCCAGACUCCUACGGGAGGCAGCAGUGGGGAAUAUUGGACAAUGGGCGAAAGCCUGAUCCAGCCAUGCCGCGUGUGUGAAGAAGGUCUUCGGAUUGUAAAGCACUUUAAGUUGGGAGGAAGGGCAGUUACCUAAUACGUAAUUGUUUUGACGUUACCGACAGAAUAAGCACCGGCUAA